rnacentral:rRNA from 1 species
GACCUCAAAUCAGGUAGGAACACCCGCUGAACUUAAGCAUAUCAAUAAGCGGAGGAAAAGAAAAUAACAAUGAUUCCCCUAGUAACUGCGAGUGAAGAGGGACAAGCUCAAAUUUUAAAUCUAUUGGGUUUUACCUGAUCGAGUUGUAAUUUGAAGAAGCGUUUUCUGCGUAUUUGGUCAGCCUAAGUCCUAUUGAAUGAGGCAUCAUGGAGGGUGAUAAUCCCGUCCGGUUGAUCAUUUGCGUUUUACGAUACGCUUUCUAAGAGUCAAGUUGUUUGGGAUUGCAGCUUAAAAUGGGAGGUAAAUUUCUCCUAAGGCUAAAUAACGGCGAGAGACCGAUAGCGAACAAGUACCGUGAGGGAAAGAUGAAAAGAACUUUGAAAAGAGAGUUAAACAGUACGUGAAAUUGUUGAAAGGGAAACGAUUGAAGCCAGUCGUACCUUCGGGUAAUCAGCCUUUCGGGUGCGAUUCUGUGGGGUUUGAGGAGCUUAACACCUUCAUGCUUUGCAUAUUCGUGCUCUUGGGUGUACUUGCCCGUGUGGUUGGUUAACAUCAAUUUUGGUGGUCAUAAAAUGACUGGAGGAAUGUAGCUUCGAUCUUGUAUUGAAGUGUUAUAGCCUUCGGUAGAUGUGAUGAUCGAGAUUGAGGAUUGCAACGGAUACCCUUCGGGGCUACCUGUCUGGUCUCUGAUCGUUGCUCUGGUGCCGAAAGCUUGCUUACGGUUAUCAAAGUCGAUGGUCAAUAGGUUAGAAUGGGUUAAAUUCGUUAAGGAUGUUGACGUAAUGGCUUUAAACGACCCGUCUUGAAACACGGACCA